UACGUAGGGUGCGAGCGUUAAUCGGAAUUACUGGGCGUAAAGCGUGCGCAGGCGGUUCUCCAAGUCCGUUGUGAAAGCCCCGGGCUCAACCUGGGAAUGGCAGUGGAAACUAGCGAGCUGGAGUGUGGCAGAGGGGGGUGGAAUUCCGCGUGUAGCAGUGAAAUGCGUAGAGAUGCGGAGGAACACCGAUGGCGAAGGCAGCCCCCUGGGAUAACACUGACGCUCAUGCACGAAAGCGUGGGGAGCAAACAGG
rnacentral:rRNA from 1 species